AUGGGUGUAGGCUAAUGGUCAGUCACUCCGUUUGGGGCGGAGGUCACGCAGGUUCGAAUCCUGCCACCUGUACCA
rnacentral:tRNA from 1 species